rnacentral:lncRNA from 1 species
GAUUCUCUCACCGGCAGGUGGAUCCAUAAAACCAGGGGUUGGGGACUGACUGCCACGGGGCAGGGUAGCAGUGCUGAGGAUGGGGAUCAUAACCAGAACAGGCCACACAGGCUGAAGAUCAACAUUUUAUGUAAAGUCAUCUUUUAAGGAGGGCGCAGCUCCCACCGUGGCCCUCUCUGGGACUGUUGCUCCAACCCAAGGAAAUGUGAGUAG